UACGGGGGGGGCAAGCGUUGUUCGGAAUUACUGGGCGUAAAGGGCGCGUAGGCGGCCCGCUAAGUCGAACGUGAAAUCCCAAGGCUUAACCUUGGAACUGCGUCGGAUACUGGUUGGCUUGAGUUCGGGAGAGGGAUGCGGAAUUCCAGGUGUAGCGGUGAAAUGCGUAGAUAUCUGGAGGAACACCGGUGGCGAAGGCGGCAUCCUGGACCGACACUGACACUGAGGAGCGAAAGCCAGGGGAGCAAACGGG
rnacentral:rRNA from 1 species